UAAUCUAUCUAGAACAGAUUUUCAUCUAAUUGUGUUAGAUUUAAUUGCUCAAAAUCACCUGUUAUCACAAAUUCGACUAAAUCUUUAAUACUGAAAAAUAAAUGAUAAUUAUUAAAUGAAUAGUAACUUGGUG
rnacentral:pre_miRNA from 1 species